rnacentral:lncRNA from 10 species
CUAAAGAAAAAUAAUAGUUGACUUAGUUUUAAACAUGAAAUAUACUGAAUAAGAAGUCACACUUGUAAAUACAAAAGAGUACUUUAAUAUUUUAUUUUGACACUUUGUAACAAUAACAGAAACACACCAUGUUUAUCUAUUCUAACUCUCUAGCAUUGUGAUGAAUGGGCCAUAAAAAACCUACCAAGUAACGCUGGUUUUUUAAAUAAAACUAAGUUCAUAUUUUAUAGAGAAAAGGGUGACAAUGCUUACCAUUUUAAAAUGUGUUAUUAUAGAUAUGAAUAUGAAAAGAAGAGAUAACCACCAGGGAAGUGAACUAGUAUUAUGCACUUUAUUGUUACUUCACAACUUGAAGACUUUUGGACAUGAUGUGUUUGGCAAAGUUCAUCAGAUUUGCUGCAAUAGAGGAAGAGUAGCGCUGGAGGCCAUUGAAGGAUUCUUUCUAUAGCCUUAGCUCUAAUGAAGCCAAUUACUGUGUUGUGAGCUGCCAUCCUGAAUGACCCACAUGGCAAGGAACACAGGGCAGACCCAGGCAGCAGCUGGUGGGAAAUUGAGGUCUUCAAUCCAACAGCUUGUGAGGAGCUGAAUCUUGCCAAUAACCAUGUGAGCUUGGCAGCAGGUCCACCCUCCAGUUGAGCCUUGAAAUGACUGCCACCUCAGCUGACACCUUGAUUGACAUCUGUGAGAAAUCCUGAACUGCAGGAUCCAGUUAUUUCAUACUCAACUUCCUGACUUCAUAAACUGUUAAAUAAUUAAAGUGUGUUUUAGGUCUUUAUAGUCUAAGUAACUUGUUAUUAAACAAUAUCUAAGAUAUCUGAAUGUUAACUAAUGCACUCAAUUACUGAAGUAAUUUACAUAGAAAUUUGUACUAAAUUGGCAGGUGUUCCAUAUGAUACCUCAAGAUCUUGUUCAAUUUCCAAAAAAUGUUUUAUUAUUUUAUUUUAUUGUGGUAAGAACAAUUAACAUGAUAUCUACCUUUCUGACAAAUUUUUAAGUACACAAUAUUAUUAUUGGCUGUAAACACAAUGUUGUAUGGCAGAUCUCUAGAACUUAUUCGUCUUGACUAAAGCUUAAUGCCCCUUGAUUAUUAAAUCGUCUUUUCUCAUUUCCUUCAGUCCCUAAAAACCACCAUUCCACUCUUUGAUUCUACCAAUUUGACUGUUUUAGAUACCUUAUAUAAGUGGAAUUAUGCAGUACUUGUCUUUCUGUGACUGGCUUAUUUCACUUAGCAUAAUGCCCACAAGGUUCAUCCAUGUUGUCACGUGUUACAGAAUUUCCUUCUUUUUUCAAUGCCUUGGUGCUUCAGGGUUUUUUAUUACUGUGAUUAAAUCUUUCCUGCACAUGUGGAUCCACUCUUGAGUGUAAAGAUUUUUUUAUUUGUUAUUGAACCUCCAAAAUACACUAUUUAUUCAUUGUGAAUUUUUGUUGCAUAUUUGUUCACAAUUUUGUUUUAGUGUAAAUAUCCUUUUCUUCUCUAAAUUCCCUACCUUUAAAUACCCUAUAAGUUAUUAUCAGUUUUUUUCUGCAUUUGUGGCAUAAUACAAGGCUGUAAACUGGAUAAUCCAGUAAAAAUACUGUAAAGCAUUGUCAACAUUGAAAGGAAGCUCUCUCUCAGUUUCAUUUCAUUAUACUAUUAAUUUGUUAUCAUAUUACUUUAUUUCUUUUUAAUAUGACACAUACAUAGCUGAUUGAGUGUGCAGCCUAUUAUGACACUUAAGGAUUUUCCAUAGUGUCUCUUUAAUAGAUUUGUGUUUUUAUGAGAACAAUUUAAAUGUCAGCAUUUUUUACUUAAUGUAUAUUGUGUAAUUAUGAAAAAAGUUAUAUAGAUUUCAUAAAUAUGUGUAGCUUUUUAAAAUCAGAAUUUAAAAUCCUAUGUCUUUAUUUCAAGAAUCUUCACUUAGUCAUGAAAAUGAUACCAGACUGCUCAAUAACACAGCAAGUAAAAUUCACAUCAUCAUUGAAAAUGUCAAUAUUAAGGACAAAAACUUGAUACUUACCCCUUCAGGAUAUUUCAUGUCUGCAACUAUUAGUGAACUGAAAAGCCCUACUGGCUUGAAAACUUUAAUGAGUUUAUAUGUAAAACUUAAAACAACAAAAUACAAUUUUUAAACUUUUUUUUCCAGUCUAUUGUGGAAUAAAGGUAAACAGUUCAGUGUAUGGUAUAUGCACUUUUCUUUCUAUGGCUGGAAAAUAGCUGUAGGUUAAAUUGGGAAUAAGUUUUGGUAAUUUUUUUUAUUAGUGCUUUCAUGUUGGCCAGUGUUUCUAGUUCUCUUUAGCCUUCAUUCAUCUAUUGUUGUUAUUGAAGCUUUGCAUCUAUUUAUUGACGUACUCAAGCAACUGAAUAGCAGCAAAGAUCUAUGAGUUAUUGAAGGAAAAAGAACCAAAAAGUAUUUUUCUCCACCCUACUGCCAUACUAAGAAGGGUAUCUUGUAACUGCCAUAUUUCGGUUGACUAUGCUUGUCAUUAGACUAAGAUCCUGUAUACAAACACACACAUAUACACAUGACAUAUAUGUGCAUGGAGUAAGCAUAAUACAUCCACACACAUGUACACCCCCACUGCAUACAUUGGUGCUCAUGGAUUAAGCAUAUACAUACACAUAACUCCCACAUGCA